AUUGAACGCUGGCGUCAGGCUUAACACAUGCAAGUCGAACGAGUGGCGGACGGGUGAGUAAUGCUUGGGAAUCUAGCUUAUGGAGGGGGAUAACUACGGUUAACUGUAGCUAAUACCGCCUACCAUAGGAUGAGCCCAAGUGGGAUUAGGUAGUUGGUGAGGUAAAGGCGUACCAAGCCGACGAUCUCUAGCUGGUCUGAGAGGAUGACCAGCCACACUGGGACUGAGACACGGACCAGACUCCUACGGGAGGCAGCAGUUGGGAAGAUUGCGCAAUGGGGGAAACCUGACGCAGCCAUGCCGCGUUAAGUAAGAAGGCCUUCGGGUUGUAAAGUUCUUUCGGUAGCGAGGCGUUAACUUCAGAAGAAGCACCGGCUAACUCCGUGCCAGCAGCCGCGGUAAUUC
rnacentral:rRNA from 1 species